UCCCAGAUAGCUCAGAUGGUAAAGUGUCUGCCUGCAAUGCCGAAGACCCGGGUUCGAUCCCUGGGUCAGGAA
rnacentral:tRNA from 1 species